UAAUACGAAGGGGGCUAGCGUUGUUCGGAAUCACUGGGCGUAAAGGGCGCGUAGGCGGCCGAUCAAGUCGGGGGUGAAAGCCUGUGGCUCAACCACAGAAUGGCCUUCGAUACUGUUUGGCUUGAGACCGGAAGAGGUCAGUGGAACUGCGAGUGUAGAGGUGAAAUUCGUAGAUAUUCGCAAGAACACCAGUGGCGAAGGCGGCUGACUGGUCCGGUUCUGACGCUGAGGCGCGAAAGCGUGGGGAGCAAACAGGAUUAGAUACCCUGGUAGUCCACGCCGUAAACGAUGGAUGCUAGCCGUUGGCGAGCUUGCUCGUCAGUGGCGCAGCUAACGCUUUAAGCAUCCCGCCUGGGGAGUACGGUCGCAAGAUUA
rnacentral:rRNA from 1 species